rnacentral:lncRNA from 1 species
CACACAGUAUCUUGCAUAUAAUAUAUGUUUAGUAAAUGUUGGAUUCAUUCAAUGGAUCAAUUACCUUGAAAUCCAAAAGCACUGAAGUUUUGAACUCACCCAGACCUUCCUUCCUUCUACUUCCAUUUUGUUAACUCCAGGCUCAGUGUCCAGCAGAAGUGAGGUGCUUAGUGUGAUCUUAAGUAAAUUUGGCAUAAGGAAUCUAUAGGGUACAUCCUGGUCUUUGGUCUGCUUCUUACCAUUCCAGUGGGUUAGAAACAGAUGUUCGCAUGUCUACAUGGUUUUUAAAACCAACCAAUCAAGAGUUGGCCUCCAUGCUCUUAUGAUUUUGCUCUAUUGAGUGAGCAUCUGGGGCAAAGAUGUUCUAGGAAGAGAUUUCAUGCCAGCUGUAUGGUAUCUUACUGCCAUCACCAUCACCACACAGAGAGCAAUGAAUAGGAAGCAUGGGCUUGAAAAUCUGAAACAUCUCCUUCAUGUGUGAGCCAGGAAUUCUGAAUUUAUUAUCCUAAAAAAGACAUGCAAAGACAGGCUUGAGUGCCAUUCCUGGGCACAUCACUAUUUUGAAUAUUGCCUGGCUCUUAAUGAGGGACUUGCAUUUUGAUGGUCUCUAAUUGCACCACCAUCCGUAGGUAUUUCAUAAUACUCUCUGAAAAACUGGGGAGAGUGACUCACUGUUGAUCAAAUAUCUUUUACCUCUCAUUACCCUUAAGCUAUGAUACCUGCUUCCAGACUUCACCCCCAAAGAACUCUUUCAACCAGUCAGAUUAUCACAGCUCCAGAGAGUCAUGAACAGUGUUCAUUCUAAACUUGAAUAGUGGGAAAUGGAAAAGAAAAUGAGAAGUUCCCUAACUGGAUGUUCACAUGCAGCUUAUGAAGAAAUCGUUGGACAAGCUAUCCAGAGAAAUGGGAGGAGCAAGGAGGAGGGUGCUCAUCUCUAUGACUUGUGUGGCUUUAUUGAGACACUGUGUGGCUAGCUUUCAAUCCUAUUUAGCCGGAAGGACCAAGACGAAUCCUGUCCAUCAAGCACUUGGUCUCCCCUGACCUAUGCACCCCCUGACACCAUUGGAAGCUCUGUGUAUGAUAAAUAAAGAGCCUCUUUGGGGCUCUCA